rnacentral:rRNA from 1 species
AUUCCAGCUCCAAUAGCGUAUAUUUAAGUUGCUGCAGUUAAAAAGCUCGUAGUUGGAUUUCGGGUGGGAAUGGCCGGUCCGCCGUUUCGGUGUGCACUUGCUAGUCCCACCUUGCUGCCGGGGACGUGCUCUUGGGUUUCGGCUCGGGACACGGAGUCGGCGAGGUUACUUUGAGUAAAUUAGAGUGUUCAAAGCAGGCCUACGCUCUGAAUACAUUAGCAUGGAAUAACACGAUAGGACUCUGGCCUAUCUUGUUGGUCUGUAGGACCGGAGUAAUGAUUAAGAGGGACAGUCGGGGACAUUCGUGUUUCAUUGUCAGAGGUGAAAUUCUUGGAUUUAUGAAAGACGAACUACUGCGAAAGCAUUUGCCAAGGAUGUUUUCAUUA